ACGGGUGAGUAAUAUAUCGGAACGUACCCAAGAGUGGGGGAUAACGUAGCGAAAGUUACGCUAAUACCGCAUACGAUCUAAGGAUGAAAGCAGGGGAUCGCAAGACCUUGUGCUCCUGGAGCGGCCGAUAUCUGAUUAGCUAGUUGGUGGGGUAAAGGCCCACCAAGGCAACGAUCAGUAGCUGGUCUGAGAGGACGACCAGCCACACUGGAACUGAGACACGGUCCAGACUCCUACGGGAGGCAGCAGUGGGGAAUUUUGGACAAUGGGGGCAACCCUGAUCCAGCAAUGCCGCGUGAGUGAAGAAGGCCUUCGGGUUGUAAAGCUCUUUUGUCAGGGAAGAAAAGGCUGUGGCUAAUAUCCACAGCUGCUGACGGUACCUGAAGAAUAAGCACCGGCUAACUACGUGCCAGCAGCCGCGGUAAUACGUAGGGUGCAAGCGUUAAUCGGAAUUACUGGGCGUAAAGCGUGCGCAGGCGGUUUCGUAAGUCUGUCGUGAAAUCCCCGGGCUUAACCUGGGAAUGGCGAUGGAGACUGCGAGGCUAGAGUUUGGCAGAGGGGGGUAGAAUUCCACGUGUAGCAG
rnacentral:rRNA from 1 species